rnacentral:rRNA from 1 species
GUGGAGGAAUACCGAUGGCGAAGGCAGCCUCCUGGGAUAACACUGACGUUCAUGCCCGAAAGCGUGGGUAGCAAACAGGAUUAGAUACCCUGGUAGUNCACGCCCUAAACGAUGUCGAUUAGCUGUUGGGCAGCAUGACUGCUUAGUAGCGAAGCUAACGCGUGAAAUCGACCGCCUGGGGAGUACGGUCGCAAGAUUAAAACUCAAAGGAAUUGACGGGGACCCGCACAAGCGGUGGAUGAUGUGGAUUAAUUCGAUGCAACGCGAAGAACCUUACCUGGUCUUGACAUGUACGGAACCCUCCAGAGACGGAGGGGUGCCUUCGGGAGCCGUAACACAGGUGCUGCAUGGCUGUCGUCAGCUCGUGUCGUGAGAUGUUGGGUUAAGUCCCGCAACGAGCGCAACCCUUGUCAUUAGUUGCCAUCAUUAAGUUGGGCACUCUAAUGAGACUGCCGGUGACAAGCCGGAGGAAGGUGGGGAUGACGUCAAGUCCUCAUGGCCCUUAUGACCAGGGCUUCACACGUCAUACAAUGGUCGGUACAGAGGGUAGCCAAGCCGCGAGGUGGAGCCAAUCUCACAAAACCGAUCGUAGUCCGGAUUGCACUCUGCAACUCGAGUGCAUGAAGUCGGAAUCGCUAGUAAUCGCAGGUCAGCAUACUGCGGUGAAUACGUUCCCGGGUCUUGUACACACCGCCCGUCACACCAUGGGAGUGGGGGAUACCAGAAGUAGGUAGGGUAACCGCAAGGAGCCCGCUUACCACGGUA